CAGUAGCCGCGGGAAUACGAGGGGGGCAAGCGUUGUUCGGAAUUAUUGGGCGUAAAGGGCGCGUAGGUGGUUCAUUAAGUUGGAUGUGAAAGCCCUGGGCUCAACCUGGGAACUGCAUCCAAAACUGGUGAGCUAGAGUACGGUAGAGGGUAGUGGAAUUUCCUGUGUAGCGGUGAAAUGCGUAGAUAUAGGAAGGAACACCAGUGGCGAAGGCGACUACCUGGACUGAUACUGACACUGAGGUGCGAAAGCGUGGGGAGCAAACAGGAUUAGAUACCCCCGUAGUCCCUGUCUCUUAUAC
rnacentral:rRNA from 1 species